rnacentral:rRNA from 1 species
UACGUAGGGUGCAAGCGUUAAUCGGAAUUACUGGGCGUAAAGCGUGCGCAGGCGGUUUGUUAAGACAGAUGUGAAAUCCCCGGGCUUAACCUGGGAACUGCAUUUGUGACUGGCAAGCUAGAGUAUGGCAGAGGGGGGUGGAAUUCCGCGUGUAGCAGUGAAAUGCGUAGAUAUGCGGAGGAACACCGAUGGCGAAGGCAGCCCCCUGGGCCAAUACUGACGCUCAUGCACGAAAGCGUGGGGAGCAAACAGG